rnacentral:tRNA from 1 species
AGACUCUUAGCUAUAAAGCCCGUUGAUUUCGGCUUAACGUGAAUGACAAGAAGUCAUAAGAGUUUU